GCCAGUCUCUGUCACUGCCUAAUUUCCAUCUGCCACUUGCUCUGCUGUGAUGUUCAGUCAAUGUCUUCUUUGCUGAUGACAUCUCUUGUGUCGAGGAACAGAAGGGAGACUGCAUCUGUUGGCAGGAAGAGAAAAAAGAAUGUACACAAGACUGUAGCCCAUCAGGCUCCUCUGUCCAUGGGAUUUUCCAGGCAAGAAUACUGAAAUGGACUGCCGUUUCCUUUUCCGGGGUUCUUCCCGACCCAGAGAUCCAACCUGUAUCUCCCAUAUUGUGAGUGGAUUCGUUAAUACUGAACCAUCUGGAAAGUCAAACUUCCAGUUG